GAAUGGGGAAACCCAGUGUGACUCGUCACACUAUCAUUAACUGAAUCCAUAGGUUAAUGAGGCGAACCGGGGGAACUGAAACAUCUAAGUACCCCGAGGAAAAGAAAUCAACCGAGAUUCCCCCAGUAGCGGCGAGCGAACGGGGAGGAGCCCAGAGCCUGAAUCAGCAUGUGUGUUAGUGGAAGCGUCUGGAAAGGCGCGCGAUACAGGGUGACAGCCCCGUACACAAAAGCGCAUGUGCUGUGAGCUCGAUGAGUAGGGCGGGACACGUGGUAUCCUGUCUGAAUAUGGGGGGACCAUCCUCCAAGGCUAAAUACUCCUGACUGACCGAUAGUGAACCAGUACCGUGAGGGAAAGGCGAAAAGAACCCCGGCGAGGGGAGUGAAAAAGAACCUGAAACCGUGUACGUACAAGCAGUGGGAGCACCCUUUUGGGUGUGACUGCGUACCUUUUGUAUAAUGGGUCAGCGACUUAUAUUCUGUAGCAAGGUUAACCGAAUAGGGGAGCCGCAGGGAAACCGAGUCUUAAUUGGGCGUUAAGUUGCAGGGUAUAGACCCGAAACCCGGUGAUCUAGCCAUGGGCAGGUUGAAGGUUGGGUAACACUAACUGGAGGACCGAACCGACUAAUGUUGAAAAAUUAGCGGAUGACCUGUGGCUGGGGGUGAAAGGCCAAUCAAACCGGGAGAUAGCUGGUUCUCCCCGAAAGCUAUUUAGGUAGCGCCUCGUGAAUUCAUCUCCGGGGGUAGAGCACUGUUUCGGCUAGGGGGCCAUCCCGGCUUACCAACCCGAUGCAAACUGCGAAUACCGGAGAAUGUUAUCACGGGAGACACACGGCGGGUGCUAACGUCCGUCGUGAAGAGGGAAACAACCCAGACCGCCAGCUAAGGUCCCAAAGUCAUGGUUAAGUGGGAAACGAUGUGGGAAGGCCCAGACAGCCAGGAUGUUGGCUUAGAAGCAGCCAUCAUUUAAAGAAAGCGUAAUAGCUCACUGGUCGAGUCGGCCUGCGCGGAAGAUGUAACGGGGCUAAACCAUGCACCGAAGCUGCGGCAGCGACACUAUGUGUUGUUGGGUAGGGGAGCGUUCUGUAAGCCUGUGAAGGUGUGCUGUGAGGCAUGCUGGAGGUAUCAGAAGUGCGAAUGCUGACAUAAGUAACGAUAAAGCGGGUGAAAAGCCCGCUCGCCGGAAGACCAAGGGUUCCUGUCCAACGUUAAUCGGGGCAGGGUGAGUCGACCCCUAAGGCGAGGCCGAAAGGCGUAGUCGAUGGGAAACGGGUUAAUAUUCCCGUACUUGGUGUUACUGCGAAGGGGGGACGGAGAAGGCUAUGUUGGCCGGGCGACGGUUGUCCCGGUUUAAGCGUGUAGGUGUGUGUUCCAGGUAAAUCCGGUUCACUUUAACACUGAGGCGUGAUGACGAGGCACUACGGUGCUGAAGCAACAAAUGCCCUGCUUCCAGGAAAAGCCUCUAAGCAUCAGGUAACAUCAAAUCGUACCCCAAACCGACACAGGUGGUCAGGUAGAGAAUACCAAGGCGCUUGAGAGAACUCGGGUGAAGGAACUAGGCAAAAUGGUGCCGUAACUUCGGGAGAAGGCACGCUGACACGUAGGUGAAGUGAUUUACUCAUGGAGCUGAAGUCAGUCGAAGAUACCAGCUGGCUGCAACUGUUUAUUAAAAACACAGCACUGUGCAAACACGAAAGUGGACGUAUACGGUGUGACGCCUGCCCGGUGCCGGAAGGUUAAUUGAUGGGGUCAGCGCAAGCGAAGCUCCUGAUCGAAGCCCCGGUAAACGGCGGCCGUAACUAUAACGGUCCUAAGGUAGCGAAAUUCCUUGUCGGGUAAGUUCCGACCUGCACGAAUGGCGUAAUGAUGGCCAGGCUGUCUCCACCCGAGACUCAGUGAAAUUGAACUCGCUGUGAAGAUGCAGUGUACCCGCGGCAAGACGGAAAGACCCCGUGAACCUUUACUAUAGCUUGACACUGAACAUUGAGCCUUGAUGUGUAGGAUAGGUGGGAGGCUUUGAAGUGUGGACGCCAGUCUGCAUGGAGCCGACCUUGAAAUACCACCCUUUAAUGUUUGAUGUUCUAACGUGGACCCGUGAUCCGGGUUGCGGACAGUGUCUGGUGGGUAGUUUGACUGGGGCGGUCUCCUCCUAAAGAGUAACGGAGGAGCACGAAGGUUGGCUAAUCCUGGUCGGACAUCAGGAGGUUAGUGCAAUGGCAUAAGCCAGCUUGACUGCGAGCGUGACGGCGCGAGCAGGUGCGAAAGCAGGUCAUAGUGAUCCGGUGGUUCUGAAUGGAAGGGCCAUCGCUCAACGGAUAAAAGGUACUCCGGGGAUAACAGGCUGAUACCGCCCAAGAGUUCAUAUCGACGGCGGUGUUUGGCACCUCGAUGUCGGCUCAUCACAUCCUGGGGCUGAAGUAGGUCCCAAGGGUAUGGCUGUUCGCCAUUUAAAGUGGUACGCGAGCUGGGUUUAGAACGUCGUGAGACAGUUCGGUCCCUAUCUGCCGUGGGCGCUGGAGAACUGAGGGGGGCUGCUCCUAGUACGAGAGGACCGGAGUGGACGCAUCACUGGUGUUCGGGUUGUCAUGCCAAUGGCACUGCCCGGUAGCUAAAUGCGGAAGAGAUAAGUGCUGAAAGCAUCUAAGCACGAAACUUGCCCCGAGAUGAGUUCUCCCUGAGACUUUAAGUCUCCUGAAGGAACGUUGAAGACGACGACGUUGAUAGGCCGGGUGUGUAAGCGCAGCGAUGCGUUGAGCUAACCGGUACUAAUGAACCGUGAGGCUUAACCUUACAACGCCGAAG
rnacentral:rRNA from 1 species